rnacentral:sRNA from 1 species
UACCCUCUUGAAGUGAGAAAUGCUGGUUACUUCUGUGCGGUGGCGAUGAACAUGGUCUGCACUUUCAUCAUUGGACAGUUCUUCUUGUCUGCUCUCUGCAGAUUCAGAUCAUUAUUGUUCUUCUUCUUCGGA